rnacentral:rRNA from 1 species
UGGAAAGCCUUCGGCUCAACCGAAGAAGUGCAUUGGAAACUGGGAGACUUGAGUGCAGAAGAGGACAGUGGAACUCCAUGUGUAGCGGUGAAAUGCGUAGAUAUAUGGAAGAACACCAGUGGCGAAGGCGGCUGUCUGGUCUGUAACUGACGCUGAGGCUCGAAAGCAUGGGUAGCGAACAGGAUUAGAUACCCUGGUAGUCCAUGCCGUAAACGAUGAUUACUAAGUGUUGGAGGGUUUCCGCCCUUCAGUGCUGCAGCUAACGCAUUAAGUAAUCCGCCUGGGGAGUACGACCGCAAGGUUGAAACUCAAAAGAAUUGACGGGGGCCCGCACAAGCGGUGGAGCAUGUGGUUUAAUUCGAAGCUACGCGAAGAACCUUACCAGGUCUUGACAUCUUCUGCCAACCUAAGAGAUUAGGCGUUCCCUUCGGGGACAGAAUGACAGGUGGUGCAUGGUUGUCGUCAGCUCGUGUCGUGAGAUGUUGGGUUAAGUCCCGCAACGAGCGCAACCCUUAUUACUAGUUGCCAGCAUUCAGUUGGGCACUCUAGUGAGACUGCCGGUGACAAACCGGAGGAAGGUGGGGACGACGUCAAAUCAUCAUGCCCCUUAUGACCUGGGCUACACACGUGCUACAAUGGAUGGUACAACGAGUCGCGAAACCGCGAGGUUUAGCUAAUCUCUUAAAACCAUUCUCAGUUCGGACUGUAGGCUGCAACUCGCCUACACGAAGUCGGAAUCGCUAGUAAUCGCGGAUCAGCAUGCCGCGGUGAAUACGUUCCCGGGCCUUGUACACACCGCCCGUCACACCAUGAGAGUUUGUAACACCCAAAGCCGGUGGGGUAACCUUUUAGGAGCUAGCCGUCUAAGUG